GUGACUGCGCGUGUGAGUGUGCGUGCGCGUGGCGCCGGCGCCCGGGGCUGCGGUGCAGGCGCCGCCGGGAGCCGGCCGCCCGGGGUCCCAGGGCAGCGGCGCGCUCGGCGUUCGGAGCGGAUGAGCCACCCGGCCCCCAGGAGCCCGCGGGGCUGGGGAGGUGCCCGCGGGCAGAGCGCUGGGGGCGCGGCUGUGCCGGACCCGCUGCCGCUGGAGGAGGAACUAACAAUACCUCAAUACACACUGCCCAGAGAUGAGAAAUCCAGCUCAGAGACAUUUUAAAGGGGCUGAAAUGCCUCCGCUCAAGGGGUCCAGGAGUGCGCUCAGGAAGACGCACGCACAAAGCCACCUUAUGCAUCAUUUGAAGAUUCAAUGGGAGCUAGUGCGGGGAGCGGUGGAGCCGCGCAGCGCGAUUGUGAGGGGCUCUGCUGGAAUUUGGCAGCGCGGAGGCUUGGAGAGCAGCCCCAUGCUGGCUCCUAUUCAGCGGGCCAGUUUUCCUCGAGCUUUGGAAGUUUCACUCAGCCGUGCACUCAAUGGCUUCACAAAGCUGAUUACAAGCUUCAGCGCAUUCCUGAAGGAGCCAAAAGCGACGCAGGUGCAAACGAGCCGAGGGAGCCCCUUAUCCCGGUGACAGAAUGGGACAAGCUGGGAAAGGCUUGGACCACACAAAUCCAAGCUCACCAGGCAGCAGAAAGCCUGCCUUGGGAACCGGGGGUCAUUAUCCGCCCUAUUCAGCGGGGCCCGGGGACCCUGGGGGCCAGGGAGGCCGGCCGGGCGGGAGCUGCCGCGCCAGCGCGCGCCCGCGGCGGUGGGGACCCCGCAGGGCCCUGCGGCCGGCCCGGGGCGCUGGGUGGCGGGUUGUGCGUUUGCUCUGGCAGCGCCAGUGAAACCCGUGCCCCGACGGGCCCCUGUCAACACCAGUAGGGACAUGGGAGAAAGAGCGCGCAGGAGGCAACCGGGUGCCUGGACCGUGCGCAACGUUUGUUCAUCCAGCAUCCCUGCCCCUGCCCACGCUGGCGCUCCGGGUCCCCGCCGGGCCCCUGGGCCACCGACACGCAGCUCCGAGGGUCGCUCUGUCCCCUCUUUCCCCCAGCCCCCCUUUCCUGUCCGUCUCGUGGUAACUGGGUCGGUGGAGAGCCAGCCCGACGCGGUGCGAUGGGAGGACAGCGACCGUGCGCGGGGAGUAGGGGCGGCGGGUCUCGGGACCGCCCCGGCGAAGCGCACUCGGCUGGGGCCGAGGACACCUUUGCGGCGAGUCUGAUUCCGCGACGGGAAGGAGGGUCGGGCCUCUGCCAGGGAGUGAAUGACGUCCCCUGCUCGCGUUGAAGGACCGACAACCCCGGGCUGAGGGCGGUGAAGAGAGAAGGCAGCGCCGCGGGGAGCGCGCGGGAAAGGAAGGUCGAGGCCCGGGAGGGGAUCUCGGCGUAGGAGGCACGCCAGGCGGAGGGAGCUGGCACGCGGGGGAGGGAGCGCGGGGGGCGGAGCUGGUGCGCGGGCUGCCCCCGGGACCCUCCUGUGGCGCGUGGGGAGCCCCGCGCCGCGUCCAGACAAGCGCAGCGCUCGAGUCCCUGCGUGGGGUCGGCGCCCGGGCUCCCCUCCUGCGCGCCGUCCCACCCUGUGCUCCCUGGGCCUGGGCCCUGCCCGCCGCGCGCUGGGCCGGGCUGCGUCCGGGGGUCCCCGCGGCAGGGCGCGGGCAGGGCGCGGGCCGGCAGGGCGCGCACGCCGACGGUCUUUUGUCUGAUAACUAAUUUGAGUUAAUGCGAUCUUUAUGUAAAGCUAACAGCGGAUAAUUGUCUAUUUUCUCGCCAACAAUCUCCAUCACAAUCACUUAUCUGGAAACCUGCGGCUGGAUUAAUCGUUAUAUUCCCGAGAUAAGCGUCGCCGCAAUCCGCAGCGAAUAAGGCACUCCGUCUCCACUCUCCUCUCCCUACUUCGUCCGUGGGCUGGAAAUUUUUCCCAGGAGAAGGCAGUCAACACGGAGACGGGCACCAGGCCGGUUCCUAGCCCGGAGCUGAGAAUUAAGCGUCGAGGUUGAAGGCUGCAGAAGGCCGAGGUCUCCCCAGGGCCCCGUGGACUCUCCGGUUCGCCCCGAGGUCUCCCCAGCAAGCUCCCAGGCCUCCACCAUGUGCCUCGCAGCCUCUGGAGGUGCUUUAGUUUUACCUUGGUUUCUUGACAAACUAAGGGAUCAGGAUUUGGAAGGAGAACGGAGCCAGAUAUUGUUUUCGUAAGCACAGCAAGCAGAACAGGGAAAUAAACAGAGAAAAGGCCCUAUAGGGUGUCUUGUUCGGUUGGGGUAAAGAUGGAGGCCUCCGUCUCAAUCCAGGAAAAGCCGUAGGCAGGCUCUUUACAAAUAUGGACACCUUUGGGGGAAUUGAACUAGAAUACCUUUUUUCUCCCCAGAAAAUUGUAUGAUUUAGGCCUGGACCCUGGGUUGCUCUUGAAGUCUCUGCAAGUCUUGCACCCGGGCCUGGCCUUGGGGAAGAGAGCCUCUCCAGGGCCCGCCCAGCGCCCUGUGCGCCCUGAGCCAGCCAUGGCUGGGGAGGCGUACUGUGGAGGUCCUGGUUAUGGUGGGUGGGCACACAGGACAAUGUCAGCUCCAGGGAGACGGCGUUGUUGCCAGGUGGCUCACCAUGUCUCUCCAGGGUGUAGACAGCUCCUGGUUCAUUGUAGGUGUCCAACAUAUGUUUGCUGAAAGGCUGAAAAGGCCCUUGCCACGGUGGAGCUGCUGGCCUGGCAGAGUGGACCACAGCAGGGCCAGCGCCCUGGGGGCUGGGGAGGGGGUCCUGAGCUUGCCUCCCUCCCCUUCUCACACACGUUCAAUCUUACGCUCGCCGUGCAUGUUCUUACACACACACGAUUCACGUGCUAUGCACUCAUGCACACUCACACAAAUACCCAGAGUCUCUAACACACACAGACGCAUGUAUGCAGAGACAUACACACAUCCACUGUCACACGUGAGUGACACGCAGUCACACACACACCAUUCCCCUGGGGGCCCGCAGUCACAGGCUGGCUGAGUGCUGGCGGCGGCUUGUGCCUGGCUCCUCGGGAGGAGAAGUCAAAUAGGUCAGAGGAAUAUUCUCUUAGGUACACACACGUGGGUGAGGGAUCCAGUCCUCCUGGGAAUUCAACAAAUGCAGCAAAAAAGUGACAUCAGUGCAGCACAGGGCGGUUACUUCUGAGCUCUUUCUUCUGAGCGUCAGAGCCAGGUCACUGUCCCAGCUUGCUAGAGUGGGUCGAGUUAUCACUUUGUUCCCAACGCUUCCAAGUUGCUACUUUCUCCCAGUGUAAUUUCCUUGGCUGCCCAUGUAGACCUCUGUUAUACAAUAUGAUAGCCACUAGCCACACGUGGCUACUGAGCACUUACAGUGUGACCAGGUGUGCUGUGACUGUGCAAGACACGCCCGAUUAUAAGGUGUGGUAUGGGGGCUGGCCCGGGAGCACAGCAGUUAAGUUCGCACGUUCCGCUUUGGGCCCUGACCUGUUCG